AUUGUGUGCCUGGAAUAAUGAAAUAAGACCUCGAUUCUAUUUUGUUGGUUUUCAGAACCCCGAGGUAAUGAUUAAUAGGAACGGAUGGGGGCAUUCGUAUUGCGACGUUAGAGGUGAAAUUCUUGGAUCGUCGCAAGACGGACAGAAGCGAAAGCAUUUGCCAAAAACGUUUUCAUUGAUCAAGAACGAAAGUUAGAGGUUCGAAGGCGAUCAGAUACCGCCCUAGUUCUAACCAUAAACGUUGCCAGCUAGCGAUCCGCCGACGUUCUUCCGAUGGCUCGGCGGGCAUCUUCCGGGAAACCAAACCUUUUGGGUUCCACGAGAAGUUUGCUUGCAAAGCUGAAACUUAAGGGAAUUGACGCAAGGGCACCACCAGGAUCAGACACUGCGGCUUAAUUUGACUCGACACGGGACACCUCGCAGACGGGUCGCAGACGACCCAAGAGGAUUGGCGUAUAAAUUAUUCGCGCCGACCCGAAAGCUGGCAUACAGUUCUUCAAACGAGUGGCAGAUGGACCACAGAUCGAAAGUCAACGGCUGAGGCGCUCAUCAAGAAGUACUUCUUCGCCGACGACGCGACCACUGACACCCAGCACCACAAUCUGAUUAGAAGCAAAUAUGAUUUCGGUGCGCCAACCGAUCUCCCCAUCACCUUGGACGAACUGAAGAACGCCAUUCGCGAGCGACCGAAGCGUAAAGCUCCGGGAAUCGACGGUUUUCCGUCUGCUGCGUUGGAACAUCUUGUGGCAGAAGUCGGCAAAAGGUUUUCGACAAAAUCCUUGCGAAGCGGCUCACACACUGGUUGGAGAAAACGUUCAAAUUCUCUGAAAAUUAAUUCGGUUUUCGCAAGGGAAAGAGCACAAUCGGUGUACUUAAACAGGCCGUGAGCAACAUCUGUAAGACAAAGGGACAGAAUCAGCACUCGCUACUCGUUGCACUCCACGUGCAAAACGCUUUUAUUUCUGCGUGGUCUCCAAAAGUAUACAACUUGCUGGAGAAAUGUGAUUGCUCCGGCAUUGCUUGGGCACGAGCGAUCACCAGCUUUUUGUAACACCGUAGUGUUUCUUCGCAAGGGGUUACCGUAGGUUCUGCGCGGGGUUGCCUGCAAGGUUCUUGUUUGGGUCCAGUUCUCUGGUUUUUAAUUAUGGAGGAUUGGUUUCAGGAAAUACGAAGCGUUCAGCUGAAGGUGUUCAGGUAUCAAGGUGUUUGCGGACGACGAGCUCCUGGUAAUUACAGAGCCGUCAACAAAACGGAUUGAAGCUGCAUAGCUGUCAAAUUGGGCGGCUUGUUGUCGAUGGGCACAUCAACACAAGCUGGACUACGCGCCGCACAAAACAACUGCGAUGUAAGGGAGCCUCAGAUCCGUUUCGGCAACGUCGUCGUUUUGCCUAAGGAGUUGCUGCAGUAUUUGGCCGUCAUCAUCGACCGAAAGUUAAACUUCGUAGAGCACGUUAAAUACGUCCGAGGGAAGAUCGCAAGCGCAGGUCACAAGAUCCGGGCCAUCAUCGGCAGAACAUGGGGAACCCUAAAUCUAUCUUCGAGCCGCAAAACCAGCGCUGUUGUAUACAGCGGAGAUGUGGGGUAAGAAGGAUUUGCUAUGGAAUGCUAUGUACGCAUUUGGCCGCUGCUCAACGGCCAUUUCUACUUGGAAUCACGCGCGCAUGUCGGACCAUGACGAACGCCUCUAUCCAAAUACUGGCCGAGUGUUUGCCGCUUCACCUUGAAGCGCCGCAAAUACACGAACAGUCAGUACAGAUGGAUGCACCUGACAUCGAAGCCAAAGUAAAAACGGCUGAGAAGCGGCAUCCGGCUGCGCCAAUACCGCGCUCGAAAGAGCUUGAAGCCCGCCCAGAGAGAUAUUCAUCAGACGCCGUAAGAAUAGCUGUACAGCAGCCAAAUGGUCGAAAAAUCAACAUCAUGUCUGACUCGAGAGUGGCACAUGACAUUCGCGUAAAUGGCAGAUGCGGUGUUGCGCAUCAAAGGAGGCGUCUGCGAGGUGGUCUGCACGGGAAGUGGUAGCAGCCAUCGACGACUACCCCACUCUUUAAGCGCCAACGACGAAAGAAAUGGUGAAGACAAGGACACGGAAGGAAGCCUACAAUGCAUGGCAGACGGAAUGAACAGCGCACACUAAAGGACGACACACUGCGAGCAUUUGCUCUAAUGUGGUUGAACGAUGGAGGCCGUGGUCACCAAAAGCUGUGGCGCUCGCUACCGGUCAUGGGCCGUGUGGCUAUUACUUUAAACGGUGUGUGCUACGGAACGUGACUGGUGCAUGUGUGGAAACAGCCAAGCACAUUCUAGUGCACUGCCAACUCCCAGACCGUUCCACUGCGAGGGAAUCCUACCAAAGAAAACUGCAAGGAGCAAGCAACAAUUCCCACCAAGGAUUAACGACGAGGCCGAUGACGCUGCAAUUAGCAUGUUUAAGCAUUUGCAGAAGAGGUCGUUGCCGACAGCGAGGUCCCGGACAAAGAACAUUAGUUAUUUAAGUCUUAAUAGUGUACAAAUUUAAGUCAUUUUUAUAACUUAUCGUGUAUAAUAAAAUGUAUAAUUUUGA